rnacentral:rRNA from 1 species
AAUGAACGCUGGCGGCAGGCCUAACACAUGCAAGUCGAGCGGAGCGGCGGACGGGUGAGUAAUGCCUAGGAAUCUGCCUGGUAGUGGGGGAUAACGUCCGGAAACGGGAGAUAAUACCGCAUCCUAUCAGAUGCGCCUAGGUCGGAGUAGCUAGGUGUUGGGGUAAAGGCCUACCAAGGCGACGAUCCGUAACUGGUCUGAAAGGAUGAUCAGUCAAACUGGAACUGAGACAGGGUCCAGACUCAUACGUGAGGCAGCAGUGGGGAAUAUUGGAAAAUGGGGGAAAGCCUGAUCCAGCCAUGCGGGUGGUGUGAAGAAGGGUUUCGGAUUGUAAAGCACUUUAAGUUGGGAGGCGUUACCAACAGAAUAAGCACCGGCUAACUUCGUGCCAGCAGCCGCGGUAAUUC